rnacentral:rRNA from 1 species
AUUGAACGCUGGCGGCAUGCUCUACACAUGCAAGUCGAACGGUAACAGGCCGCAAGGUGCUGACGAGUGGCGAACGGGUGCGUAAUGCAUCGGAACGUGCGCAGUCGUGGGGGAUAACUACUCGAAAGAGUAGCUAAUACCGCAUACGAUCUAUGGAUGACAGCGGGGGACCGUAAGGCCUCGCGCGAUUGGAGCGGCCGAUGUCAGAUUAGGUAGUUGGUGGGGUAAAGGCUCACCAAGCCAACGAUCUGUAGCUGGUCUGAGAGGACGACCAGCCACACUGGAACUGAGACACGGCCCAGACUCCUACGGGAGGCAGCAGUGGGGAAUUUUGGACAAUGGGCGCAAGCCUGAUCCAGCAAUGCCGCGUGCAGGAAGAAGGCCUUCGGGUUGUAAACUGCUUUUGUACGGAACGAAACGGCUCUGGUUAAUACCCGGGGCUAAUGACGGUACCGUAAGAAUAAGCACCGGCUAACUACGUG